rnacentral:rRNA from 2 species
UUGGAGGGCAAGUCUGGUGCCAGCAGCCGCGGUAAUUCCAGCUCCAAUAGCGUAUAUUAAAGUUGUUGCAGUUAAAAAGCUCGUAGUUGAAUUUCGGGAUCAGUACGCUGGUCGUGCCUUCGGUAUGUACUGGUGUUACUGGUUCCUACCUUCUGACGAACCGUCAUGUCAUUAAUUUGGUGUGGCGGGGAAUCAGGACUGUUACUUUGAAAAAAUUAGAGUGUUUAAAGCAGGC